AACUGGAAAAGGAUCAUUGCCAAUCUGACUAGCAAUGAGACGUCGGGAAGCCAUAGGAUCGUCAACUGGAACCUCACGCUUCUUUUUCGGACUUGGUGGCUGAAAAGGUUUCUACAAGAUAAACAACAUUUGUAUUAAAUUAUAUGUAAUAUAUAAAUAUAAAUAAAAAAUAAUAUAAUGAAACGAAAUUAUUACAUGAGGUUCGGGCAUAGAUCGAAUGAGCUCUCUGGGCCAGGCAACGAAUGUCUGAAAUGCAUCGGCCACAGUGGUUACCUCAUCUGAAGGUAGUGGAACACGAGCAUCAGGAAAUCGUACUUU
rnacentral:lncRNA from 1 species